UACGUAGGGGGCAAGCGUUAUCCGGAUUUACUGGGUGUAAAGGGAGCGUAGACGGUUAAAUAAGUCAGAUGUGAAAGCCCAGGGCUCAACCCUGGGACUGCAUUUGAAACUAUGUAACUAGAGUGCAGGAGAGGUAAGUGGAAUUCCUAGUGUAGCGGUGAAAUGCGUAGAUAUUAGGAGGAACACCAGUGGCGAAGGCGGCUUACUGGACUGUAACUGACGUUGAGGCUCGAAAGCGUGGGGAGCAAACAGG
rnacentral:rRNA from 1 species